AUGAAGCAAGCAAGGGAUUGCUUACACCUGAGAAGAACUAUUGAACAACACUUCUGAGGUAGAAGUCCAGGUCAAGUUUCGAAGGACAGUCAUAUUGAGCCACCAGGAAUGUCAUUUCUCCCCUAUGAUGUUCUCAGCAGCAGCAGGAACUUCCUGUGCAGGAUUUCCAGGCAGAACUGAAACAGGCAUUCUUAGCUGACACACCAAGAGGUGGUUAA
rnacentral:lncRNA from 1 species